UGGCUUUGGUAUCCUCAUGUCUAUCUUAAACAAUUUUCAUCUUAGUGCCUAUUGUAUGCUGAUUGGACAAGUUGUUCCACCACUUGCUGUUCUAUCAUAGGUUAUUGUAACAUUCUUGGUGAUAGCUUUAUCAUAUGGCACACAAAAAAAUAAAGUACCAUCUCUCGCUCACUACUGAGGCUGAAUAUUGAUCAAUGGCCUC
rnacentral:lncRNA from 1 species